AGUCCAAAAGGAUUUCUUGAUAGAUUCGAGUAAAGCAAUGCAUAAAUCGGUGCGGCAAUAAUGCAAAUCUCUCUACUGGAUACGGGGAAAAUAGCGAUAAACACUUGUCUGCGUGUUCGACCAUAUUCUGUGCAAAAAAAAAAAAAUAAUACCAAGUCCCGUAGAUAGACGGUUUUUUCAUUUUCCUAAACUAUUACGGAACGUGAACUUGACUUGUCGUUGCACAUCAAUUACUCUCGAGAAAUUUACGAAUACUCAACACGACGUAGGUAAGUCACUCGGCUUUUUGUAAAUAUAAUCACUAAAAAUCGAUUGAUGUCGAUGAAAAAAACACCUCUAUAUAUGAUAAAUACGUUUUAGAGAAAGAUAGAAAUAGGUGCCCUCUCCCAACAAUGUAAACACGCAAACUCAAUGUUAAAAUUAUUAUAAUCACAUAAUAAAUAAUGCG